ACGGGUGAGUAACACGUGGGUGAUCUGCCCUGCACUUCGGGAUAAGCCUGGGAAACUGGGUCUAAUACCGGAUAUGACCUCAGGUUGCAUGACUUGGGGUGGAAAGAUUUAUCGGUGCAGGAUGGGCCCGCGGCCUAUCAGCUUGUUGGUGGGGUAAUGGCCUACCAAGGCGACGACGGGUAGCCGACCCGAGAGGGUGACCGGCCACACUGGGACUGAGACACGGCCCAGACUCCUACGGGAGGCAGCAGUGGGGAAUAUUGCACAAUGGGCGAGAGCCUGAUGCAGCGACGCCGCGUGAGGGAUGACGGCCUUCGGGUUGUAAACCUCUUUCAGCAGGGACGAAGCGCAAGUGACGGUACCUGCAGAAGAAGCACCGGCUAACUACGUGCCAGCAGCCGCGGUAAUACGUAGGGUGCAAGCGUUGUCCGGAAUUACUGGGCGUAAAGAGUUCGUAGGCGGUUUGUCGCGUCGUUUGUGAAAACCAGCAGCUCAACUGCUGGCUUGCAGGCGAUACGGGCAGACUUGAGUACUGCAGGGGAGACUGGAAUUCCUGGUGUAGCGGUGAAAUGCGCAGA
rnacentral:rRNA from 1 species